rnacentral:rRNA from 1 species
UACGUAGGGCGCAAGCGUUGUCCGGAAUUAUUGGGCGUAAAGAGCUCGUAGGCGGCCUGUUACGUCUGCUGUGAAAUCCCGGGGCUUAACCCCGGGCGUGCAGUGGAUACGGGCAGGCUGGAGGUAGGUAGGGGAGAAUGGAAUUCCCGGUGUAGCGGUGAAAUGCGCAGAUAUCGGGAGGAACACCGGUGGCGAAGGCGGUUCUCUGGGCCUUACCCGACGCUGAGGAGCGAAAGCGUGGGGAGCGAACAGG